AGGAGAGUUUGAUCCUGGCUCAGGAUGAACGCUGGCGGCGUGCUUAACACAUGCAAGUCGAACGGAGUAUAGACGCUGCAGAGAUUUCGGUCAAAGCUUGUUUAUACUUAGUGGCGGACGGGUGAGUAACGCGUGGGUAACCUGCCGUAUGCAGGGGGACAACAGUUGGAAACGACUGCUAAUACCGCAUAUGCGCACAGUACCGCAUGGUACAGUGUGGAAAGAUUUAUCGGCAUACGAUGGACCCGCGUUUGAUUAGAUAGUUGGUGAGGUAACGGCUCACCAAGUCGACGAUCAAUAGCCGGCCUGAGAGGGCAAUCGGCCACAUUGGGACUGAGACACGGCCCAAACUCCUACGGGAGGCAGCAGUGGGGAAUAUUGCACAAUGGGGGAAACCCUGAUGCAGCGACGCCUCGUGAGUGAAGAAGUAUUUCGGUAUGUAAAGCUCUAUCAGCAGGGAAGAUGAUGACGGUACCUGACUAAGAAGCCCCGGCUAACUACGUGCCAGCAGCCGCGGUAAUACGUAGGGGGCAAGCGUUAUCCGGAUUUACUGGGUGUAAAGGGAGCGUAGACGGCGUAUCAAGUCUGAAGUGAAAGCCCGCGGCUCAACCGCGGAACUGCUUUGGAAACUGGUAAGCUUGAGUGCGGGAGGGGUAAGUGGAAUUCCUAGUGUAGCGGUGAAAUGCGUAGAUAUUAGGAGGAACACCAGUGGCGAAGGCGGCUUACUGGACCGUAACUGACGUUGAGGCUCGAAAGCGUGGGGAGCAAACAGGAUUAGAUACCCUGGUAGUCCCCU
rnacentral:rRNA from 1 species